GCCCAGAUAGCUCAGUUGGUAGAGCAUCAGACUUUAAAUCUGAGGGUCGAGGUUUCAGUCCCUAUUUAGAAG
rnacentral:tRNA from 1 species